rnacentral:snRNA from 1 species
UUGCUUUAGCAGCACAUAUACAAUAGUUGGAAUUAUAGAGAGAUUAGCAUGAAUCCUGCCUAAGGAAGACAUGCAGAUUCAUGAAUUUUUCCUUAUUUUU